UCUUGGUCAUUUGAGGAAGUAAAAGUCGUAACAAGGUCUCCGUUGGUGAACCAGCGGAGGGUCAUUACCGAGUUUUAAACUCACCAACCCACUGUGAACAUACCUACGUUCUUCGGCGGCGGGCUUCGGCCCCCGCCGGGGACCCAAACACUAUUUUUACCGAUACCUCUGAGUAAAAAACAAAUAAAUCAAAACCUUUAACAACGGACUCUUGGCUCUGGCAUCGAUGAAGAACGCAGCGAAAUGCGAAAAGUAAUUGAAUUGCAGAAUUCAGUGAAUCAUCGAAUCUUUGAACGCACAUUGCGCCGCUGGAACUCCGGCGGGCAUGCCUGUCCGAGCGUCAUUUCAACCCCUCGGCCCCCCUUUCGGGGGCGGGCCUGGUGUUGGGGCUCGGCCGCUACCCCCGGCCGUCCCCUAAAUGCAGUGGCGGCCUCGCCGCAAUCCCUUGCGUAGACUAUACCUCGCACCGGAGCGCGACGCGGCCACGCCGUAAAACCCCCAAUUUCAAUGGUUGACCUCGGAUCAGGUAGGAAUACCCGCUGAACUUAAGCUAUCAAUAAGCGGAGGA
rnacentral:rRNA from 1 species